UACAGAGGGUGCAAGCGUUGUUCGGAAUUACUGGGCGUAAAGGGCGCGUAGGCGGUACUUCAAGUCAGGCGUGAAAGCCCCGGGCUCAACCUGGGAACCGCGCUUGAGACUGGAGAACUAGAGUUCGGGAGAGGAUGGUGGAAUUCCCAGUGUAGAGGUGAAAUUCGUAGAUAUUUGGGAAGAACACCGAUGGCGAAGGCAGCCAUCUGGACCGACACUGAUGCUGAGGACGCGGAAAGCGAUGGGGAGCAACAGGAU
rnacentral:rRNA from 1 species